AUGUCUAGACGCAGCACCGCUAACAAGAAGAAAGUCUCUUGGUUUGAUAUGCGGGAACAAGAGGUGAGUGUGGAUUAUAACGCAAUAAUCAACGUUGACACAGUUUCAGACUCUGAAGAUUGUGUAAAGCCACCACAAAAGGUUUCUCUAGCUGAGAAAGUCCUGCAGGAAUCGUCUGUCUUUGAAAAACAAAGAGACAUGGACCGUCUUUUGAUUGAAGUGGAGGAACUCAAGGAAAAUUUGAAAAUUUCCAACGAUUCUCUAAAAAAUGAGAAAAUAAGACGAACCAAAGCUGAAACUAACUGUAUGUUUUACAAGAGAGAAAUUACCGAAUUAGAGCAGGGAUUAGAUUACUAUCAGCAUAAGGUAGAGACUCAUGAAAAAACGGUGCAGACUUUACAAAACCAGCUUCAGAGCAAAGAAAAUCUCUGUGAGAGACUGCAAAAGCGUUCUCAGCAGGAGUCACUGCUGAGACACAACUUAGCUCAAGAAAAACAGAAGAGUGACAACGAACAUAUAAUCAAUAGUAAGUUACAGAAGGAAAUUGCAGAUUUACACAAGGAGAAAGAAAAUCUUUUAAACAAGCUGGAGAAAUUUUCCUCCAUGAAAAAGGAGGCAGAUGAGAAGAUGUCUGCACAGCUGGAAACCUUGAAACACCAGUUGGAAGAGAAAUCUUCUCUCUGUCAUCAACUGGAAUCGUCUUUUAUUAAGGAAAAGCAGCUGAGAGUCCAGUUACAAGAGGAGAAGAAGAACCAGAAAAAAGAUCUAAGUCAUCAGAAAUUAAAGAACGAAAUCUGGGAAUUAGAGCAGGGACUGGAUUACUAUCAAAAUAAUGCAGAAACCCGUGAAAAAAGAGUGAAGAGUUUACAGAUCGAGCUUCAGAACAAAGAAACUGCAUGUGAAGAUCUGCAGAAGACUUUAAAACAGCUGAGAGUCCAGUUAGCUGAAGAGCAGCAAAACAGUCAGAACAAAGACACAAUUACUGAGAAUUUAAAAGAGGAAGUUGGAGAACUAAAGAAGAGCCUUGUGCAAGCUCUGGAGAGUCUUAACUCCACAAAACUCGAGGUGAAGGAGAAGAUGUCUCAGCAGCUGGAAGUGUUUAAUCAGCAGCUAGAAGAGAAAUCUGCUCUUUGUCAAACACUUAAAUCAAGUUUAGACAAAGAGCAGCAGCUGAGGGUGAGCUGUCAGGCUGAACUCGACAAUACCAGAGUUCUUGUCUCUGAGAAUUCAGAUCUCCAGCAGGAGAUCCAGGAUUUGAAGGAGAGAAACUCUGAACUCAGAGAUGUGAUGAUCAAACACGUCUCUGAGAAAGUCGAGUCAGACCAGCAGUUUGUUCAAGAGCUGCAGAAACUCAAAGAGCAGCAUGAAGAGGAAUUAGUUACCCUAAAACUGCAGCUUAAAGAACAUCUCAGAUCUGAGAUCCAACCUGGUUCUGAGAUUUAUUCACCAGAACCACAGCCGUCUGUGGAAAGUCUAGAGACAAAUCCUGACAAGGAUUGUCAGACGGACACGGACGUUUGUCAGACUGAAAUCAUUCAGGAGACGCUGGAGUUAAGCCAAAGUCUCCACAGUAACGAGUCUCCAUCUGAAGAAGCCGUUCCACAAACAGUCAAACCGCAGAAAAACAUUUCUAAGUGGAGGCGCUUCAAAAAGUUUAUGACUCCGGCGUGUCUGCGGAAACACAAGAACAAGUUAUAA
ensembl:lncRNA